rnacentral:lncRNA from 1 species
AGCGCUGCAGACACUCUUCCUUCCGGAGGUAGUUGUUGCUGUUCCCCCGACAGCCGCCGUAGGUGAAGGGCCGGCAGUCGCGGUGUUGGGGGCUGUGGUACCACCGCCGGAACGCGGCGCGGCACGGCCCGGUGACGGGGGGGGCGGCGCACUGCUCUGCGGGGGUCACCUGACGUCACCCGGCGGUGUCACCCCGCAACGUCACCCGGUUGUCACCCAGUGUCACCUGGUUGUGUCACCCAGCGUCGUCACCCGGCGGUGUCACCCCGCAACGUCACCCGGUUGUCACCCCGUGUCACCUGGUUGUGUCACCCAGUGUCAUCACCCGGCGGUGUCACCCCGCAACGUCGCCCGGUUGUCACCCCGUGUUGUCACCCGGCGGUGUCACUCCACAAUGUCACCCGGUUGUCACCCAGUGUCACCUGGUUGUGUCACCCCGCAAUGUCACCCGGUUGUCAAUCAGUAUCACCCGGCACUGUCACCCUGCAAUGUCACCCACUUGUCACCCAGUGUUGUCACCCGGCGGUGUCACCCCGCAAUGUCGCCCGGUUGUCACCCAGUGUUGUCACCCCUCAACGUCACCCGGUUGUCACCCCCUAUCACCUGGUUGUGUCACCCAGUGUCAUCACCCGGCGGUGUCACCCAGCAAUGUCACCCGGUUGUCACCCAGUAUCACCUGGCGGUGUCACCUGGUUGUGUCACCCAGCGUCGUCACCUGGCGGUGUCACCCCGCAAUGUCGCCCGGUUGUCACCCCAUAUCACCUGGUUGUGUCACCCAGUGUCGUCACCCAGUGUUGUCACCCCGCAAAGUCACCCGGUUGUCACCCCGUGUCACCUGGUUGUGUCACCCAGCGUCGUCACCUGGUGGUGUCACCCUGCAACGUCACCUGGUUGUCACCCAGUGUCGUCACCCGGCGGUGUCACCCAGCAAUGUCACCCGGUUGUCACCCAGUGUCACCUGGUUGUGUCACCCAGUGUCGUCACCUGGCGGUGUCACCUGGCAAUGUCACCUGGUUGUCACCCAGUAUCACCUGGCGGUGUCACCUGGUUGUGUCACCCAGUGUCAUCACCUGGCGGUGUCACCCCGCAACGUCGCCCGGUUGUCACCCCGUGUCACCUGGUUGUGUCACCCAGCGUCGUCACCCGGCGGUGUCACCCCGCAACGUCACCCGGUUGUCACCCCCUGUCACCUGGUUGUGUCACCCAGUGUCGUCACCUGGCGGUGUCACCCGGCAAUGUCACCCAGUUGUCACCCAGUAUCACCUGGCGGUGUCACCUGGUUGUGUCACCCAGUGUCAUCACCCGGCGGUGUCACCCCGCAACAUCACCCGGUUGUCACCCUGUGUCACCUGGUUGUGUCACCCAGUGUCGUCACCUGGCGGUGUCACCUGGCAAUGUCACCCAGUUGUCACCCAGUAUCACCUGGCGGUGUCACCUGGUUGUGUCACCCAGCGUCGUCACCCGGCGGUGUCACCCAGCAAUGUCACCCGGUUGUCACCCAGUGUCACCUGGUUGUGUCACCCA